AUCCAGAUGACGAGUCCCAAACAGGACAAAACAUGCUUCUUGGAU
rfam:Schistosoma haematobium scaffold558_25, whole genome shotgun sequence.